AGGCUUCCUCCUUAUUGCCAUUCCCAUUUCUUCACAACUGGGGAGACUCAACUGCAAACAUGGCUUAUUAAGGAAUCACCAGGAGAAGUUAGCCAUGAAAAGGAAGAACAUGGCUGCUGUUGACAUGUGAUAUCUCAGUGCUGGGCAUGAAGAUUUUUAAUGCUAUUGUUCUUUUUUAAAAAGUGGAAGUAUGUCUCAUCUUAGAAUAAUUAUGCUGUGCUCUAGAUGUUUGUCCUUGGGAAAACUGAACUUACAGUAGCUCUGUCACUGUCUUCCCCAAACAAGGCUGAAGCUGUGCUGCAUAUUCUUACCUAGCCUAGGAAGUCAUAAAACAUCACUCUGCUUCAUUCUGUUGGAUACUGAUGAGUCAAAACUUGCCAUUUUCAAAGGAAAAGAAUGCAGACACCUCUUAAAAGAGCAGGUAGUUAGAAUGCAACACUGGAAGAAUGUGAGUUUGAGACUAGAAAGAAAAAUUGAGGUAGCAUUCAUAUGGCAACUUCAUAUGACUUGAUGUGAGUAAAAGAGAUUUCUGCUGGAGGAUGGGGAAGUGGUCUGCAUGAGACAAAAGCUAAAAUUAUAACUUUGGGGAACUUUUGGAGGCUGAGGUCAGAGAAAUCUAAGGAGUUUCUAGUGCAGAGUCCUAGAAAUAAAAGGUGAAGAGAU
ensembl:lncRNA novel transcript